UUUAAAGUGUAAUGUAAGUUGCUUUGGAUAAAAGUGUCUGCUAAAUGACCUAUA
rfam:Gasterosteus aculeatus cont1.005918, whole genome shotgun sequence.